rnacentral:rRNA from 1 species
AUUGAACGCUGGCGGCAGGCUUAACACAUGCAAGUCGAACGAGUGGCGGACGGGUGAGUAAUGCUUGGGAAACUAGCUUAUGGAGGGGGAUAACUACGGGAAACUGUAGCUAAUACCGCGUGCCACAGGAUGAGCCCAAGUGGGAUUAGGUAGUUGGUGGGGUAAAGGCGCACCAAGCCGGAGAGCUCUAGCUGGUCUGAUAGGAUGACCAGCCACACUGGUACUGUGACACGGCCCAGACUCCUUCGGGAGGCAGCAGUGGGGAAUGUUGCGCAAUGGGGGCAACCUGACGCAGCCAUGCCGCGUGAAUGAAGAAGGCCUUCGGGUUGUAAAGUUCUUUCGGUAGGGAGGCGUUAACUACAGAAGAAGCACCGGCUAACUCCGUGCCAGCAGCCGCGGUAAUUC